GAAAGCUCAGGGCCGCCAACUUCCAGCUGCAGCGGCGACUUUCAGUUUCAUUUCCACGGACCCUCCUGCCUGGGCCGCAGCCGCCGCCGCGAUGCCCAGUAAGUUCAGCUGCCGGCAGCUCCGGGAGGCGGGCCAGUGUUUCGAGAGUUUCCUGGUCGUUCGGGGACUGGACAUGGAGACAGAUCGCGAGCGGCUGCGGACCAUUUAUAACCGCGACUUCAAGAUCAGCUUUGGGACCCCCGCCCCUGGCUUCUCCUCCAUGCUGUAUGGAAUGAAGAUUGCAAAUCUGGCCUACGUCACCAAGACUCGGGUCAGGUUCUUCAGACUCGACCGCUGGGCCGACGUGCGGUUCCCAGAAAAGAGGAGAAUGAAGCUGGGGUCAGAUAUCAGCAAACACCACAAGUCACUGCUAGCCAAGAUCUUUUAUGACAGGGCUGAGUAUCUUCAUGGGAAACAUGGUGUGGAUGUGGAAGUCCAGGGGCCCCAUGAAGCCCGAGAUGGGCAGCUCCUUAUCCGCCUGGAUUUGAACCGCAAAGAGGUGCUGACCCUGAGGCUUCGGAAUGGUGGAACCCAGUCUGUUACCCUCACUCACCUCUUCCCACUCUGCCGGACACCCCAGUUUGCUUUCUACAAUGAAUACCAGGAGUUGCCCUGUCCACUGGGCCCCGGUGAAUGCUAUGAACUCCAUGUCCAUUGUAAGACCAGCUUUGUGGGCUACUUCCCAGCCACAGUGCUCUGGGAGCUGCUGGGACCUGGGGAGUCAGGUUCAGAAGGAGCCGGCACAUUCUACAUUGCCCGCUUCUUGGCUGCCGUCGCCCACAGCCCCCUGGCUGCACAGCUGAAGCCCAUGACUCCCUUCAAGCGGACCCGGAUCACUGGAAACCCUGUGGUGACCAAUCGGAUAGAGGAAGGAGAGAGACCUGACCGCGCUAAGGGCUAUGACCUGGAGUUAAGUAUGGCGCUGGGGACAUACUACCCACCUCCGCGCCUCAGGCAGCUGCUCCCUAUGCUUCUUCAAGGAACAAGUAUCUUCACUGCCCCUAAGGAGAUCGCAGAGAUCAAGGCCCAGCUGGAGACAGCCCUGAAGUGGAGGAACUAUGAGGUGAAGCUGCGGCUGCUGCUGCACCUGGAGGAGCUGCAGAUGGAGCAUGAUAUCCGGCACUAUGACCUGGAGUCGGUGCCCAUGACCUGGGACCCUGUGGACCAGAACCCCAGGCUGCUCACCCUGGAGGUUCCUGGAGUGACUGAGAGCCGCCCCUCAGUGCUACGGGGCGACCACCUGUUUGCCCUUUUGUCCUCGGAGACACACCAGGAGGACCCCAUCACAUAUAAGGGCUUUGUGCACAAGGUGGAAUUGGACCGUGUCAAGCUGAGCUUUUCUAUGAGCCUCCUGAGCCGCUUUGUGGAUGGGCUGACCUUCAAGGUGAACUUUACCUUCAACCGCCAGCCGCUGCGAGUCCAGCACCGUGCCCUGGAGCUGACGGGGCGCUGGCUGCUGUGGCCCAUGCUCUUUCCUGUGGCACCUCGGGACGUCCCGCUGCUGCCCUCAGAUGUGAAACUCAAGCUGUACGACCGGAGUCUGGAGUCAAACCCAGAGCAGCUGCAGGCCAUGAGGCACAUUGUUAUGGGCACCACCCGUCCAGCCCCCUACAUCAUCUUUGGUCCUCCAGGCACCGGCAAGACCGUCACAUUAGUGGAGGCUAUUAAGCAGGUGGUGAAGCACUUGCCCAAAGCCCACAUCCUGGCCUGCGCUCCAUCCAACUCAGGGGCUGACCUCCUCUGUCAAAGGCUCCGGGUCCACCUUCCUAGCUCCAUCUACCGCCUCCUGGCCCCCAGCAGGGACAUCCGCAUGGUACCUGAGGACAUCAAGCCCUGCUGCAACUGGGACGCAAAGAAGGGGGAGUACGUAUUUCCCGCCAAGAAGAAGCUGCAGGAAUACCGAGUCUUAAUUACCACCCUCAUCACUGCUGGCAGGUUGGUCUCGGCCCAGUUUCCCAUUGAUCACUUCACACACAUCUUCAUCGAUGAGGCUGGCCACUGCAUGGAGCCUGAGAGUCUGGUAGCUAUAGCAGGGCUGAUGGAAGUAAAGGAAACAGGCGAUCCAGGGGGGCAGCUGGUGCUGGCAGGAGACCCUCGGCAGCUGGGGCCUGUACUGCGUUCCCCACUGACCCAGAAGCAUGGACUGGGAUACUCACUGCUGGAGCGGCUGCUCACCUACAACUCCCUGUACAAGAAGGGCCCUGAUGGCUAUGACCCCCAGUUCAUAACCAAGCUGCUCCGCAACUACAGGUCUCAUCCCACCAUCCUGGACAUUCCUAACCAGCUCUAUUACGAAGGGGAGCUGCAGGCCUGUGCUGAUGUCGUGGAUCGAGAACGCUUCUGCCGCUGGGCAGGCCUACCUCGACAGGGCUUUCCCAUCAUCUUUCACGGCGUAAUGGGCAAAGAUGAGCGUGAAGGCAACAGCCCAUCCUUCUUCAACCCUGAAGAGGCUGCCACAGUGACUUCUUACCUGAAGCUGCUCCUGGCCCCCUCCUCCAAGAAGGGCAAAGCCCGCCUGAGCCCUCGAAGCGUGGGAGUCAUCUCCCCGUACCGGAAACAGGUCAGGUCCUCAGUUACCAGCAAGGGUGGGGCCCCUCCCCGGAUGGUACCUCCUUAAUAUCCAGACCACUAGGCAGAGGCUCCGGGAGCUUAGGCCUCUGCUGGCUCCAUAUCUCAGAAGAGCACCGAGGUCAGCUGCCGCCUCCCUUUGUUCCCCAGCUCCCUGGCCUCCUGCCAGGCUCCCUCUUGCAUUAGGUUAAUGGCACGAGAGAAAGGCACCUGUCCCCUCCUUCCAGGUGGAGAAAAUCCGUUACUGCAUCACCAAACUUGACAGGGAGCUUCGAGGACUGGAUGACAUCAAGGACUUGAAGGUGACACGCUGUUCCACUUGCCCACUUCCGUGUGCCCCCACUUGCUCACUUCCAGAGACUUCCUCAAACUUCCACUCCAGUCCAGCCCAUGUCCCCGUUCCACCCCUGCUGCCUUGAAUAGAGCUCGACCUCUCCCCAAGCCUCUCACUCCUGGAGAUUCCAACUUAAGGGUCUGGGAUGGGAUCAGGAAGCCUGCAUGUUUAACAAACACCUCCUGUCAUUCCUAGACUCAGGCAGGUUUGAGGCCUCUGCCCUAAGGAUAAAGUCCAAAUUCCGUGGCCUGUCAUGUGAUGCUGCCACCCCCACCCCCAGUAGCCUCUCUCUCUUAAGGUUCUGGUCUCAACACUGGCUGCAGAUAACAAUCACCUGGAGAGCUUUUAAUACCCCUGUGCCAGGGCCCCGCCCACCAGCUCAUACAGCUAUGGGGCAGAGCCAGGGCACUGGUAGUUUUUACAGCUUCUCAGGUGAUUGUAAUGUGCAGCCAGGGUUGAAAACACUGCUCUAAGACUUAGAGGCCUCUCUCUUGGAAAUUCUGAUCGGGGGUCUGGGUUAGGGCCCAGGGUUGUAUAUUCUUAACAGAUACUUAGUGAUUAUUUUCAGGAAAGUUUGAAAGUCACUGCUCUGAGUUCCCGUGUUUUUUGCAAUGCUGUUUUCUUUCCUUAGAACACUUUGCAGGCCCCAGCCCUUAGCAGGAUUCACCCUUCAGGUUUCAGCUUCCACAGCCUACCUCCCGUCCCCUUUCCCUGGGCUGUGUCACAGCACUGGUUCACUCCACUGAUCUACAAUUGCCCAGUGACCUCUCUGUACCCUCCUUGGAAGGCAAGCUCCCUGGGGUAGGGCACCCCUUUGACACCCCUGGCUGGUCUCAGGCCCUGCCUCUUUCCCCACUAGGUGGGUUCAGUGGAAGAAUUCCAAGGCCAAGAACGAAGCGUCAUCCUCAUCUCCACCGUGCGAAGCAGUCAGAGCUUUGUGCAGCUGGAUCUGGACUUUAAUCUGGGUUUCCUUAAGAACCCCAAGAGGUUCAAUGUAGCUGUGACCCGGGCCAAGGCCCUGCUCAUCAUCGUGGGGAACCCCCUUCUCCUGGGCCAUGACCCUGACUGGAAAGUGUGAGCAUUCCCACCCCGUUCUCCCUCUUAGUGGCCACAGCCCCUGCCUGGGGCAGGUGGAUCUUUUUUAAGCGCUUGCUUAUCGCUCAGUUAAUCCUCAGAUGUGUCCAUUUUCACAGCCUCCCUAUUGUAUUUAUAAGUUAAAUGACAUCCAGAGGUUGAGCAAGUACAGCUCAGAUGGGACAGGACCGUGGCUUAGCCUCCAGUCUCUGCUGGCACUCCUCUGUACCCCACAGAUUCCUGGAGUUCUGUAAAGAAAACGGAGGGUAUACCGGGUGUCCCUUCCCUGCCAAACUGGACCUGCAACAGGGACAGAAUUUACUGCAAGGUCUGAGCAAGCUCAGCCCCUCUACCUCAGGGCCCCAUAGUCAUGACUACCUCCCCCAGGAGCGGGAGGGUGAAGGGGGCCUGUCUCUGCAAGUGGAGCCAGAGUGGAGGAAUGAGCUCUGAAGACACAGCACCCAGCCUUCUCGCACCAGCCAAGCCUUAACUGCCUGCGUGACCCUGAACCAGAACCCAGCUGAGCCGCCCCUCCAAGGGACAGGAAGGCUGGGGGAGGGAGUUUACAACCCAAGCCAUUCCACCCCCUCCCCUGCUGGGGAGAAUGACACAUCAAGCUGCUAACAAUUGGGGGAAAGGGGAGGAAGAAAACUCUGAAAACAAAAUCUU
rnacentral:sRNA from 1 species